rnacentral:rRNA from 1 species
CACGUAGGGUCCGAGCGUUGUCCGGAAUUACUGGGCGUAAAGGGCUCGUAGGCGGCCAACUAAGUCAGACGUGAAAUCCCUCAGCUUAACUGGGGAACUGCGUCUGAUACUGGAUGGCUUGGAUUUGGGAGAGGGAUGCGGAAUUCCAGGUGUAGCGGUGAAAUGCGUAGAUAUCUGGAGGAACACCGGUGGCGAAGGCGGCAUCCUGGACCACCUCUGACGCUGAGGCGCGAAAGCUAGGGGAGCAAACGGG